UCCUACGGGGGGCAGCAGUGAGGAAUAUUGGUCAAUGGGCGAGAGCCUGAACCAGCCAAGUCGCGUGAAGGAUGACGGCCCUACGGGUUGUAAACUUCUUUUGUCAGGGAGCAAUUGGGUCCACGCGUGGGCUUAGCGAGAGUACCUGAAGAAAAAGCAUCGGCUAACUCCGUGCCAGCAGCCGCGGUAAUACGUAGGGAGCAAGCGUUAUCCGGAUUUACUGGGUGUAAAGGGCGUGUAGGCGGGCUUGUAAGUCAGAAGUGAAAUCUGGGGGCUUAACCCCCAAACUGCUUUUGAAACUGCGG
rnacentral:rRNA from 1 species